rnacentral:rRNA from 1 species
UACGUAGGGGGCAAGCGUUGUCCGGAUUUACUGGGCGUAAAGCGCGCGUAGGCGGAAGUUCAAGUCUGGCCUGAAAGCCCCCGGCUCAACCGGGGAGUGGGGCUGGAAACUGGGCUUCUUGAGGGCGAUAGAGGAGUGUGGAAUUCCUGGUGUAGCGGUGAAAUGCGUAGAGAUCAGGAGGAACACCCGUGGCGAAGGCGGCACUCUGGGACGGUACUGACGCUGAGACGCGAAAGCGUGGGGAGCGAACAGG